GUAAUGCUUAGGAAUCUGCCUAUUAGUGGGGGACAACAUCUCGAAAGGGAUGCUAAUACCGCAUACGUCCUACGGGAGAAAGCAGGGGACCUUCGGGCCUUGCGCUAAUAGAUGAGCCUAAGUCGGAUUAGCUAGUUGGUGGGGUAAAGGCCUACCAAGGCGACGAUCUGUAGCGGGUCUGAGAGGAUGAUCCGCCACACUGGGACUGAGACACGGCCCAGACUCCUACGGGAGGCAGCAGUGGGGAAUAUUGGACAAUGGGGGGAACCCUGAUCCAGCCAUGCCGCGUGUGUGAAGAAGGCCUUUUGGUUGUAAAGCACUUUAAGCGAGGAGGAGGCUACCGAGAUUAAUACUCUUGGAUAGUGGACGUUACUCGCAGAAUAAGCACCGGCUAACUCUGUGCCAGCAGCCGCGGUAAUACAGAGGGUGCAAGCGUUAAUCGGAUUUACUGGGCGUAAAGCGCGCGUAGGUGGCCAAUUAAGUCGAAUGUGAAAUCCCCGAGCUUAACUUGGGAAUUGCAUUCGAUACUGGUUGGCUAGAGUAUGGGAGAGGAUGGUAGAAUUCCAGGUGUAGCGGUGGAAUGCGUAGAGAUCUGGAGGAAUACCGAUGGCGAAGGCAGCCAUCUGGCCUAAUACUGACACUGAGGUG
rnacentral:rRNA from 1 species